rnacentral:rRNA from 1 species
UACGAAGGGGGCUAGCGUUGUUCGGAUUCAUUGGGCGUAAAGGGUGUGUAGGCGGCGCGCUAAGUCGGGUGUGAAAUUUCGGAGCUUAACUCCGAAACUGCAUUCGAUACUGGCGGGCUUGAGGACUGGAGAGGAGACUGGAAUUCAUGGUGUAGCAGUGAAAUGCGUAGAGAUCAUGAGGAAGACCAGUGGCGAAGGCGGGUCUCUGGACAGUUCCUGACACUGAGGCACGAAAGCCAGGGGAGCAAACGGG